GGAGCAUGGGCGGACGGCCUAACAUGCAGUCGAGCGGAUGAAGGGAGCUUGCUCCUGGAUUCAGCGCUCGGACGGGUGAGUAAUGCCUAGGAAUCUGCCUGGUAGUGGGGGAUAACGUCCGGAAACGGGCGCUAAUACCGCAUACGUCCUGAGGGAGAAAGUGGGGGAUCUUCGGACCUCACGCUAUCAGAUGAGCCUAGGUCGGAUUAGCUAGUUGGUGGGGUAAAGGCCUACCAAGGCGACGAUCCGUAACUGGUCUGAGAGGAUGAUCAGUCACACUGGAACUGAGACACGGUCCAGACUCCUACGGGAGGCAGCAGUGGGGAAUAUUGGACAAUGGGCGAAAGCCUGAUCCAGCCAUGCCGCGUGUGUGAAGAAGGUCUUCGGAUUGUAAAGCACUUUAAGUUGGGAGGAAGGGCAGUAAGUUAAUACCUUGCUGUUUUGACGUUACCAACAGAAUAAGCACCGGCUAACUUCGUGCCAGCAGCCGCGGUAAUACGAAGGGUGCAAGCGUUAAUCGGAAUUACUGGGCGUAAAGCGCGCGUAGGUGGUUCAGCAAGUUGGAUGUGAAAUCCCCGGGCUCAACCUGGGAACUGCAUCCAAAACUACUGAGCUAGAGUACGGUAGAGGGUGGUGGUAUUUCCUGUGUAGCGGUGAAAUGCGUAGAUAUAGGAAGGAACACCAGUGGAGAAUGCGACCACCUGGUACUGAUACUGACACUGAGGUGCGAAAGCGUGGGGAGCAAACAGGAUUAGAUACCCUGAUAGUCCACGCCGUAAACGAUGUCGACUAGCCGUUGGGAUCCUUGGAGAUCUUAGUGGCGCAGCUAACGCGAUAAGUCGACCGCCUGGGGGAGUACCGGCCGCCAAGGUUAAAACUCAAAUGAAUUGACCGCGC
rnacentral:rRNA from 1 species